UUAUUGGCUGUUUCCAUUUUUUGGGGUGGAAUUCUGAGAAGAAAUUUCCCUUUGAAAUAUUUCUUUCAUUCAAUAUAGUUGUAACCCAAUUGUGAAGGAAACCAUUGCAGCAGAAACCACAAUGAAUCAACAGGAAAUUCCUAGCGAUGAUUACAUUGGCAAAUAAGCUGUUACAGCUCCACCCAUCUUUUUUCAGCAGUGAAUAAGGGGUGGGCGCAGUGUACUUGAAAAUCAUCAUCAGGUAUUCUUUCUUUCUCUUCCAACUUGGAGAGGCUUGGAAACUGGAAAAGGUUAUGACAGCCAAUGUUGAAAAGUGGAGACAGCUGAUAUGACUUUGCUUUCUCCAACAGAGUAAUAACCCCACUGUGGCAUCCUGUCAUUGGUGGUGCCCCGUCUAUUUCACAAGCAAGAAUGUUGUUAAUAGCCUUGCUGUGCACCUUCUGAACAAGAAUGAGAAGAGUUGCUCAGCCAUACUGUGAAAACUGAAGGAAGGAAUUCUGCAAUGCAGUGCUCUGCUUCUUUGCUGGACCCUCUGCAGUGGGAGGGGCAGUGAUUGCACCCUCCCGGCCAGACACACUCCAUCUGUCAGUAGUUCCUCAUCAAGAUCAAGAUCAAGAUUGUUUAAUGUCAUUUCCAGUGUACAGUUGUUAAGGAUAAUAAAAUAAUUGUUACUCUGGAUGCAAUGCAGCAUAUAAGAAAGACACCAAGAUAAAGAACACAAUAAAACACAAUAAAUGUAAAUAUUUAA